UGGUGGCCCAGGAAACUUUAUGCCUGGGGGAAUUCUCGUCUCAACCCCAGGGCUUGUGAGCAGGCUUGGCUCUGAGCUGGAGCUGGUCUGCUUCUGGUGGAUGGUGGCCCUGUAUGGACAACUCAGGCAGCUCUUGGUCCUUGAUCUCCUCACCUUGUUGCGUUAGCAUAGUGGUUCCACCUUAGCAAAAGCAUUGGAGCCCCAAGGGCUCACCAUCAGCAUAGACUCUUCUCACCAAUACCUUACCUACCUGGGAUCUGUUGUAUGAGAAAUUCAGAAACCCCCUUUUUGCAUAAGGAAACCAUCAGGAGCUAAAUCAUUUUUUUACAUACAAAGCUAAGUGGUUUUCAAUAUUACAUGUUAACUACAGACCUUCAUUAUGGAAAAUGUUGUGCCUCUGGACUUACGGCAACCUCAAAAUAUUUCAACCUCAAAAUAUUUCGGACAAACCAUUAAGUUUACUUGUAAAUGGAAGCUAAAAGCCUACAUUUUCCAGUAUAUCAUUGAGAAUUGUCUUGAGCUGCAAGUAACAGAAAACUUCUCUACGGUUGCUUAGCUACAUAGAGAUUUGUUUAAUUCUCAACAUAAUGAAGAAUCCAGAGCUCUUCAACUGAUUGGAGGAUGUCCACUCACAUUGGAGAGGGCAAUCUGCUUUUCUCAAAGUUCAGCCACUCAAAUGUUCAUUCAUCCAGAAAUGCCCUUGAAGAUACACACAAUAUAACAUCUGGCCAAAUAUCUGGGCACCCUGUGGCCCAGAUUGACACAUAAAAUUAAACCUCACCAUCUUGCCUAGGGGAAGGAUUUUCUCAUCAUAAAUGCCAUU
rnacentral:lncRNA from 1 species